ensembl:rRNA 5S_rRNA 5S ribosomal RNA
GCUUACGGUCACACCGGCCUGAGUACGCCUGAUCUCGUCCGAUCUCGGAAGCUAAGCAGGGUCGGGCCUGGUUAGUACUUGGAUGGGAGACCGCCUGGGAAUACCAGGUGCUGUAAGCU